UACAGAGGGUGCGAGCGUUAAUCGGAAUUACUGGGCGUAAAGCGCGCGUAGGCGGCUUUGCAAGUCGGGUGUGAAAUCCCCAGGCUUAACCUGGGAACUGCAUUCGAGACUGCAUUGCUAGAGUAUGGGAGAGGGAAGUGGAAUUUCCGGUGUAGCGGUGAAAUGCGUAGAUAUCGGAAGGAACAUCAGUGGCGAAGGCGGCUCACUGGACCGGCAUUGACGCUGAGGUGCGAAAGCGUGGGGAGCAAACAGG
rnacentral:rRNA from 1 species